UGGGGAAUAUUGGGCAAUGGGGGAAACCCUGACCCAGCAACGCCGCGUGAAGGAAGAAGGCUUUCGGGUUGUAAACUUCUUUUACCAGGGACGAAGGACGUGACGGUACCUGGAGAAAAAGCCACGGCUAACUACGUGCCAGCAGCCGCGGUAAUACGUAGGUGGCAAGCGUUGUCCGGAUUUACUGGGUGUAAAGGGCGUGUAGGCGGAGAAGCAAGUCAGAAGUGAAAUCCAUGGGCUUAACCCAUGAACUGCUUUUGAAACUGUUUCCCUUGAGUAUCGGAGAGGCAGGCGGAAUUCCUAGUGUAGCGGUGAAAUGCGU
rnacentral:rRNA from 1 species